GUAGCCAAACGUUUAAUACCUGGCAGAAGGAUCUUUGGGAAAAGAUCUGGACAGAUUUAAAGUGAUUAUGCUGACAUUAGUAGCUUAAAAGUCCUACGGACGGCCGAAAACCCCAGGUUUUCUAUGAUCGAUAUUCUCACGUAGAGUGAAACGGUCCCUCAGAUGAUUUUCGUUUGAAAACAUUAAGGGGUAAAGUCUUUCUCGAUGCAGAUUUAAGAUUAAAUUUUCAAGGAUUUAGGAUAUUAUUUAAAGUAUAUCUGUUUUUUAUAGUUUAUUUUGC
rnacentral:rRNA from 1 species